AAUUUUCCGCAAUGGGCGAAAGCCUGACGGAGCAAUACCGCGUGAGGGAGGAAGGCUCUUGGGUCGUAAACCUCUUUUCUCUGGGAAGAUAAUCUGACGGUACCAGAGGAAUAAGCAUCGGCUAACUCCGUGCCAGCAGCCGCGGUAAUACGGAGGAUGCAAGCGUUAUCCGGAAUGAUUGGGCGUAAAGAGUCCGUAGGUGGUUGUGAAAGUCUGUGGUUAAAGCGCGAAGCUCAACUUCGUAANGGCCAUGGAAACUAUGCNACUAGAGUGAGAUAGGGGUAGAGGGAAUUCUUGGUGUAGCGGUGAAAUGCGUAGAUAUCAAGAAGAACACCGGUGGCGAAAGCG
rnacentral:rRNA from 1 species